rnacentral:rRNA from 1 species
AUUGAACGCUGGCGGCGUGCUUAACACAUGCAAGUCGAUCGGUAACAGGUGUAGCAAUACAUGCUGACGAGAGGCGGACGGGUGAGUAAUGCUUGGGAAUCUGCCUAUUAGUGGGGGACAACCCGGGGAAACUCGGGCUAAUACCGCAUACGCUCUACGGAGGAAAGCCGGGGACCGCAAGGCCUGGCGCUAAUAGAUGAGCCCAAGUCGGAUUAGCUAGUUGGUAGGGUAACGGCCUACCAAGGCGACAAUCCGUAGCUGGUCUGAGAGGACGACCAGCCACACCGGAACUGAGACACGGUCCGGACUCCUACGGGAGGCAGCAGUGGGGAAUAUUGGACAAUGGGGGCAACCCUGAUCCAGCGACGCCGCGUGGGUGAAGAAGGCCUGCGGGUUGUAAAGCCCUUUCGGUGGGAAGAAAGUCUCGACCUAAUACGUCGGGACCUUGACGUAACCCACUAAAGAAGCACC